UGGAAAGUGAAAUGGCCAAGUGAAAUCGCCCACUCUGCCCACUCGCUCCCCCUCUAGUGCUGUCUCUCUCGCUCGCGCAGGGAUGCUGCCGGGGAAAAAGAGGCGGUUGGGGGCGGGCCAAGUGUUGAAAUGUUGCCGUAGGGCAGUUUGUUGGGAAGGAGCUGGACAGAGCGUGGCCAGAUGGUUGCCCACCAACUACGCAUUUGGUAAUUCGACUCCCAAUGGAGUUUUGUGUUGAAAAGUAUUAAGUUUAUAUCCAUUUAGAUAUUGUGUUGCAGAUCUUUCGACUUUGUGCGCAAUAAUAGUAGUUUCUUGUAUCUUGAGUGCAUAACAAUUACUUGAAAUAUGCAGUUAGACAAAGUGUGUUCAACUGAUAGUUAUAAAACCCUACCAAUUAGAGUUAAUGAACUACUUAUUUGUUUGUGGCAUAAUUUUAUAGUAUUGUUAGCUUUGUCAAAAAUAGAUUAACACGAACUCUAGAUACCAACCACAAAAUAUAAAUAUUUCUCAACCAACAUUUGCAUAAGCCAAGAAAUCUUAAAGUACUUAAAUGAACUUUAAACUUCAAGGAAACAUUCAUAUACGUUUUUCCCCAUCUGGCAACGCUCAUAAUGCAACAUGCACGCACACUCGCGCAGCUACAGCUUCUGCUGAACGAAUUCCGUUGCCUACUUUUGGGCGCGCUUAGUUUAGCGCCCACUCACUUUCGUCACUGUAUGUGUGUGUGUGUUUGUGUGUGUUUCUCCUGGCCUGCGUUUGUGUGGGUGUCUUGCGUGGGUUUAUGUAAAAAUCCUUUUUGUCUUACUUUGUUUUCGGUGGCAUUGUUGAGCAGACUCUUUAUUGUCGGCGGGUUCUCGCAUUCGCAGCCCUUCUUCUCUGGUUGCUCUGAGCCUUUUUGGCCUUUUUGUUUUGAUGUGCUAAUUUGUCAGCGCGCGGGAAAUGCGCAAAUCCGCCUCCCCGGACGACCCGGCCACCCCAAUUCCACCCACUUCUCUGGCGAAAUGCGCAUUAGAAAUAUGCGUGUCCUAGGUCAAGCCGGCUGCGGUUAUGCCCCCGAGGUGCUGUGUCUGUGGGUGGGGGCGUGGCAGCCCGGUCGAACAAUUUCUGAUAUGGAAUGGAUAUGGAAAAAGGGCCACAGAGCAUAAAUAUUCAUAGGGAAAGGAGGGCAGAGGUGCGGUGAUAUGAUGGAAUGGAUUACUAUUAUGUGCUGACAUCGAAGGCCAUCCCCUUCGCAACUACCGAUGAUGCAGCUCGAAAAUGGCUGGAUGGCCAAAGUGAAAGUAAUUUAAAGUUGGAUGGGAAAAGCGCAAAAUGCUGAAACCAAUUAGGGCAGCAUCCUUCGGUUCCCCCUUGGAACCGCCCGCACCAGCAGGAUCAGCCCGGAACACUUAAGCCCAAAUGGCAACACAAACACACGUUCUGGAAGGACCAACAGACGAAGGAUGACAACGGCGACACUUGAGCAAAUGCGUUUGCCGAAUCCUCCUUUGUGCCUCCUGCCUCCUGCCACCUGCCACGCCCCUUGAGCUGCGCCCCUGCCCCGCCAAGUGGCAGCCAAUCUUCGGAAAUUCCGCCGCAACGACAUAAUGUUCGCGUCGUCGUAGUCGCGAAUCAACUUAUUUGCCCAGCUUUUUUUGGACUCACAAAAGGGGGAGCGAUAGGAGGGUCCACGACAUGGAAUGGAUGCAUGCGGUGGCCAAGCGGACGGAUGAUGGGGGGAGUAUGGGCAGCUUAUGGGAACAUCGAUCAUCCGCCGGUGAAAGGUCGUUCGAAUGGAAUGCAAAUGAAGCUUCGGUCACCGAAAUCCCCGCUCUGAUUGAUAAGCGCCAUCAGCAGCAUCAUUACCACCAUUAUCAUCCGGCUCCACUCGCCCCAAAUUGAAAUGCAAAGUGUAAGCAAAGCCCGUGUUACUAACACCUGGUCCGGAUUCCCCCACUGCGUCCUCCUGGCAGGCGAAUCAACUAGCUCGGGUUCCACCCUCCUCCACCUUCCAUUUUAUUCCGAACCGAAAUUUAAUUAACAUUUUUAAUUCCCCCAUUUGGCGCGGCUCAAGAAAGGCUCUCCCCACUUUCCUUGGAACACUUUGCUAAAGGGGGGUUUAUUAUUUAUAGAUUCAGCAACAAAAAACAGUGUAAUUAGAAGUUUAGUCGUUCCACAAACGAGGCUCUAAUGUUUUUUGCUGAGGAGAAAGUGAGUUUAAUCACAAGACAGGUAUUCAAAUUUAAAAUCAAAUUCUUAGCAACUUAGCAAUAUCCUUUGAUGUUUUGAGAAAUCAAUUUAAGUAAUCUAAUUAAA